UACUUCAUAAGGCAAACUUAAUUGAUUCACUCAUAUAAAUAAUGGAUUUUAGAAGAGCCAAAGUCCUUAAUUCCAAACUCCAAAUUAAUGCUUUCAUAACAAAAUUAAUAAUUAGAAGCCUCUAAUCCAGCUACAAACUUUAGAAGAUAUUUGCUUAUCAAAAUUUGAGCUAUACUAAAUCCACAAAUGUGGGGAGAUGGCCUUGAAACCUUGAUUGGAUUUUGGUUGGCUACAUAUCUCCUUAUGAUUCAUUAUCCUUUUGGUAAUCAAUCCCUUAAGCAUAGAUUACUACAAAGACUAGCUUCCAAUAGUUCCUUCCAUCCCAUACCACAAAGAUUCUAUAAUAACUUCUUUUUGACAACUAACUCAUUUGAUAAAUAUCAGAUGACCUCUUUAGAAUGAAAACAAAUUCUACAUAUUCUACAUUGAUAAAUAUGGGACUUUUUAGAUAAAGCAUAUCUUUCACCAACCUUUUGGCCACUAGAGCUCUAAAUCUUUUACUAAAGUUGUCACUAGUUCAUACAUAAUUUUGACUCAAUAGAUGGCCUUUUCUAAAUUCAUUCCAUGUACAUCCCCAUAUCAAAUUCUAUUAGCCUUUAAAAAUCAAAUUACUCUCACUACCUCAAAUACCUCCUUAAUUUAUCACUUGUAAUAAUAAUCUAUGAUAGGUUGGUUGUAUAGAAUAUAU
rnacentral:lncRNA from 1 species